UGCGUAGGCGGAUUUAUAAGUCAGUGGUGAAAUCCUACAGCUUAACUGUAGAACUGCCAUUGAUACUGUAGAUCUUGAGUACGGUUGAGGUGGGCGGAAUGUGUCAUGUAGCGGUGAAAUGCUUAGAUAUGACACAGAACACCAAUUGCGAAGGCAGCUCGCUAAACCGUAACUGACGCUGAGGCACGAAAGCGUGGGGAGCGAACAGGAUUAGAUACCCGAGUAGUCC
rnacentral:rRNA from 1 species